rnacentral:lncRNA from 1 species
GAGGAAGUCGGGACCUUCAGUGAGGAUGGCUGGCGACCAAAGAACUGAACUUUAACACGUGAGUUGGUCUCCCUGCGACCACAGAUGUCCAACGCAGGCCCACCUCCCGCCGCCUGGAAGGCCCAGGUGUGGCUGGAGGGCGGCUGAAAGGGUCAGAACACGAGAUUAUUCUCAACUUUGGGCUUUUACACAGCAGUUUCAAAGACAAAGGGGCUUUUCAGGUAGGUUUGGUUUGCCGUCCUCCUCCUCCCAGGUCUGAGCUUGUUCCCCAAGGUCCCCAGCCAUGCUUGGGACGUCCUUCAGUUUGCCCCAUUUUCUUCGGGCCACCCCGCGCCCCUAGGUUGUCUGCCGUCCCUCCUAGCGAGAGGUGGAUGGCCGCGACAUUCCAGGGAGGAAAAAUGGACGGGUGAGGGGGGGCAAAGACGCCCUUCUGACCUCCUACCUCACCUCGGUGACGCGUCCCACCACGCCCGCGAGGAGCCCGCAGGCUACGCCUUCGCCGCGCUAGCUCCCGUCGCUCCGAUCCUCGGCGGGGGGAGGGGCGCGGUGCGGCCGGCGCUCUCUGAUUGGCUCCCGCGUCGGCGAUCCACGCCACGAUUGUUCCCUGCGACCGUCUGGCGCCAGCGCACUGCAGGUGGGGAGUGGGCGUUGGAAGUUGCUGGAAGUUGGAGGCAGGGGAGCGGUCACUCGCGGCGAGCGCCGGCGGCGUCCAGGGCGCAAAGUUGAGAGCAGUCCCUAGUCUGAGCCUUUCAGUCGCGCUCCAGUAUCAUCAGUACCACGGACUUCACCAUGGACUUACCACUUGCUGCGGCCCCUCAGCAACCCAGUGCACCUGCCACUCCACCAGGCCCCAGGGGAACGAAUGUGUGGAAGCUGCAGCGGAGCCUUCUGCUCAAGAGUAAAGGACCCGUCUGAAACCUACAAGAACAGAAGAGCCAUGUGACCGGAUCCCCAGUUUGGCAGAGGAGACAUGUGAGAGGACGGAAGGUUUUGGCCGAAAAGACAUCUGGCAGGGAACAGAGAGAACAGGUGUGGCAGAGAGAACGUCUGAGAAGCUUGCACGAUUCGCAGAAGGAGCAUCGGUAGAAGAUUGCCUGUUUGCCCAAAGGAACGUCAAGUUCCAAAGGAAUGUUUCUGGUGGCUUACAAGGACUAUCUCCAACGUGCUUGGUCUCGCUUAACUUUCGCAGGAUCCUGAAUCGGGCAUCUACUGUUCGUCCUUACUGCUCUGGGAUGUCUCGGUCUUACCAUGUCCCUGCCAACCCUGGUCCUAUCUUGUCACGAUCACCCACUGAAGAGAGGAGGUGCUGGAGUGAACGUGGUUGGGGGAGCCCCGUUCAUCCCCAGGGUCCCAGAAUGAACCAGUGUUACCAUGUACUCCUGGUCUUGCCUUCCUUCCUGCUCUAA